GUGUAGUAGGAUGGGAGAGAUGUUUAGCAUUCUUCUAGACAAGAUGAAACACAUAUAAAACAUAUAUAGAAAUAUAAGACCGACAAAAUUUAU
rnacentral:ncRNA from 1 species